ACGUACACUCCUACGGGAGGCAGCAGUGGGGAAUUUUGGACAAUGGGCGCAAGCCUGAUCCAGCCAUGCCGCGUGCGGGAAGAAGGCCUUCGGGUUGUAAACCGCUUUUGUCAGGGAAGAAAAGGUUCUGGCUAAUACCUGGGACUCAUGACGGUACCUGAAGAAUAAGCACCGGAUAACUACGUGCCAGCAGCCGCGGUAAUACGUAGGGUGCAAGCGUUAAUCGGAAUUACUGGGCGUAAAGCGUGCGCAGGCGGUUAUGCAAGACAGAGGUGAAAUCCCCGGGCUCAACCUGGGAACUGCCUUUGUGACGGCAUGGCUAGAGUACGGUAGAGGGGGAUGGAAUUCCGCGUGUAGCAGUGAAAUGCGUAGAUAUGCGGAGGAACACCGAUGGCGAAGGCAAUCCCCUGGACCUGUACUGACGCUCAUGCACGAAAGCGUUGGGAGCAAACAGGAUGAGAAACCCGAGUAGUCCCA
rnacentral:rRNA from 1 species